GACAACCCUGCUGUAGUAUGACCUCGUCUUAACCAAUUACACCUGCAAAGACCCUAUUUCCAAAAAAGGUCACAUUCUGAG